GUGUGUCAAAGUUCCCUAAGAGCCUCAAUAGGACUUCAUUCAGUGCUUACAUCCAAAUUGUAUCACCUGAAUAAGGACAAGUGUAGUGUGGAAGGGCCAGCCCUCAAGUGUCUAAGUUCAAAGGGAGCUCAAUGGGUCCCAAGGCAAGGCUCACAAGAGGGUGGUAGAACUUGAAGUCUAAGAGAGAGUGAAAGUACAUAAACAAAACUUUUAAACUAAGGAAAUAAAGAAGAGGGAAAGAGGUGCUGGGAAAUAUCCAUAAACAAGUCAUACAAAGGGUUCAGGGAUUGGGGAAAUUGCCAAGAGCCUAUGCAUAUAGGCAUUGGAUCAGCUUUGGGCAUGCACAACAAUGGAAGAUGUUGUCAUGCCCAGAAGCCUCCCAAAACACACAAUGCUAGAGAAACAUAGAGGUUAGGAUCCCAGAGGAUCAAGAUUGAGUCAUAGGCAGUAAUAUUCAAUAUUGUCAUGCCUCAAGCAAACCACAAACAUUAAAUACAUUGGGGUAGAGGUUUAGGAUGCAUCGUAAAUAUAGAACAGGCAGAAGCAUGCUAAAAUAAACACUAAACUAAACACUAGCAGUAGGCAGACAAAAAAAAAGGAAAAGCAUUAAGUAAAUACAUUGUUGUGAUGCUGAAAAUCUAUAUCAGGACAUACCAAUUCAAAGAGCAAAAUACAAUAAAAGCAAGUAGCAGGGCUUGAAAGUAGGCCACAGUAAAGUAAUAAAACAAGAGAGAAUGUUUUUGAGUGUCAAUGAAUUUUUAGAACUCAGAGUGUGCAUCUCUAUUUGUGUUAAUGAAAAGGCGGGUAUUUAUAGUUUGAAAAUAGGUAGAACGUAAGGCAAGAAAAUAAUUAUGGAA
rnacentral:lncRNA from 1 species